rnacentral:rRNA from 2 species
GGUUAAGCGACCAAGCGUACACGGUGGAUGCCCUGGCAGUCAGAGGCGAUGAAGGACGUGCUAAUCUGCGAAAAGCGCCGGCGAGGUGAUAUGAACCCUUGACCCGGCGAUGUCCGAAUGGGGAAACCCAGUGUGACUCGUCACACUAUCAUUAACUGAAUCCAUAGGUUAAUGAGGCGAACCGGGGGAACUGAAACAUCUAAGUACCCCGAGGAAAAGAAAUCAACCGAGAUUCCCCCAGUAGCGGCGAGCGAACGGGGAGGAGCCCAGAGCCUGAAUCAGCAGGUGUGUUAGUGGAAGUGUCUGGAAAGGCACGCGAUACAGGGUGAGAGCCCCGUACACGAAAAUGCACCUGGUGUGAGCUCGAUGAGUAGGGCGGGACACGUGGUAUCCUGUCUGAAUAUGGGGGGACCAUCCUCCAAGGCUAAAUACUCCUGACUGACCGAUAGUGAACCAGUACCGUGAGGGAAAGGCGAAAAGAACCCCGGCGAGGGGAGUGAAAAAGAACCUGAAACCGUGUACGUACAAGCAGUGGGAGCACAGGUUUACCUGUGUGACUGCGUACCUUUUGUAUAAUGGGUCAGCGACUUAUAUUCUGUAGCAAGGUUAACCGAAUAGGGGAGCCGGAGGGAAACCGAGUCUUAAUUGGGCGUUAAGUUGCAGGGUAUAGACCCGAAACCCGGUGAUCUAGCCAUGGGCAGGUUGAAGGUUGGGUAACACUAACUGGAGGACCGAACCGACUAAUGUUGAAAAAUUAGCGGAUGACCUGUGGCUGGGGGUGAAAGGCCAAUCAAACCGGGAGAUAGCUGGUUCUCCCCGAAAGCUAUUUAGGUAGCGCCUCGUGAACUCAUCUCCGGGGGUAGAGCACUGUUUCGGCUAGGGGGCCAUCCCGGCUUACCAACCCGAUGCAAACUGCGAAUACCGGAGAAUGUUAUCACGGGAGACACACGGCGGGUGCUAACGUCCGUCGUGAAGAGGGAAACAACCCAGACCGCCAGCUAAGGUCCCAAAGUCAUGGUUAAGUGGGAAACGAUGUGGGAAGGCCCAGACAGCCAGGAUGUUGGCUUAGAAGCAGCCAUCAUUUAAAGAAAGCGUAAUAGCUCACUGGUCGAGUCGGCCUGCGCGGAAGAUGUAACGGGGCUAAACCAUGCACCGAAGCUGCGGCAGCGGCACGCAAGUGUUGUUGGGUAGGGGAGCGUUCUGUAAGCCGUUGAAGGUGGCCUGUGAGGGUUGCUGGAGGUAUCAGAAGUGCGAAUGCUGACAUAAGUAACGAUAAAGCGGGUGAAAAGCCCGCUCGCCGGAAGACCAAGGGUUCCUGUCCAACGUUAAUCGGGGCAGGGUGAGUCGACCCCUAAGGCGAGGCCGAAAGGCGUAGUCGAUGGGAAACGGGUUAAUAUUCCCGUACUUGGUGUUACUGCGAAGGGGGGACGGAGAAGGCUAUGUUGGCCGGGCGACGGUUGUCCCGGUUUAAGCGUGUAGGCUGGUUUUCCAGGCAAAUCCGGAAAAUCAAGGCUGAGGCGUGACGACGAGGCACCACGGUGCUGAAGCAACAAAUGCCCUGCUUCCAGGAAAAGCCUCUAAGCGUCAGGUAACAUCAAAUCGUACCCCAAACCGACACAGGUGGUCAGGUAGAGAAUACCAAGGCGCUUGAGAGAACUCGGGUGAAGGAACUAGGCAAAAUGGUGCCGUAACUUCGGGAGAAGGCACGCUGACAUGUAGGUGAAGCGGUUUACCCGUGGAGCUGAAGUCAGUCGAAGAUACCAGCUGGCUGCAACUGUUUAUUAAAAACACAGCACUGUGCAAACACGAAAGUGGACGUAUACGGUGUGACGCCUGCCCGGUGCCGGAAGGUUAAUUGAUGGGGUCAGCGCAAGCGAAGCUCCUGAUCGAAGCCCCGGUAAACGGCGGCCGUAACUAUAACGGUCCUAAGGUAGCGAAAUUCCUUGUCGGGUAAGUUCCGACCUGCACGAAUGGCGUAAUGAUGGCCAGGCUGUCUCCACCCGAGACUCAGUGAAAUUGAACUCGCUGUGAAGAUGCAGUGUACCCGCGGCAAGACGGAAAGACCCCGUGAACCUUUACUAUAGCUUGACACUGAACACUGGUCCUUGAUGUGCAGGAUAGGUGGGAGGCUUUGAAGCGUGGACGCCAGUCUGCGUGGAGCCGUCCUUGAAAUACCACCCUUUAAUGGCUGGUGUUCUAACGUGGGCCCCUGACCGGGGUUGCAGACAGUGUCUGGUGGGUAGUUUGACUGGGGCGGUCUCCUCCCAAAGAGUAACGGAGGAGCACGAAGGUUGGCUAAUCCUGGUCGGACAUCAGGAGGUUAGUGCAAUGGCAUAAGCCAGCUUGACUGCGAGCGUGACGGCGCGAGCAGGUGCGAAAGCAGGUCAUAGUGAUCCGGUGGUUCUGAAUGGAAGGGCCAUCGCUCAACGGAUAAAAGGUACUCCGGGGAUAACAGGCUGAUACCGCCCAAGAGUUCAUAUCGACGGCGGUGUUUGGCACCUCGAUGUCGGCUCAUCACAUCCUGGGGCUGAAGUAGGUCCCAAGGGUAUGGCUGUUCGCCAUUUAAAGUGGUACGCGAGCUGGGUUUAGAACGUCGUGAGACAGUUCGGUCCCUAUCUGCCGUGGGCGCUGGAAGAUUGAGGGGGGCUGCUCCUAGUACGAGAGGACCGGAGUGGACGCAUCACUGGUGUUCGGGUUGUCAUGCCAAUGGCACUGCCCGGUAGCUAAAUGCGGAAGAGAUAAGUGCUGAAAGCAUCUAAGCACGAAACUUGCCCCGAGAUGAAUCUUCCCUGAGACUUUAAGUCUCCUGAAGGAACGUUGAAGACGACGACGUUGAUAGGCCGGGUGUGUAAGCGCAGCGAUGCGUUGAGCUAACCGGUACUAAUGAACCGUGAGGCUUAACCUU